GACGAACGCUGGCGGCGUGCCUAAUACAUGCAAGUUGAGCGCUGAAGGUUGGUACUUGUACCAACUGGAUGAGCAGCGAACGGGUGAGUAACGCGUGGGGAAUCUGCCUUUGAGCGGGGGACAACAUUUGGAAACGAAUGCUAAUACCGCAUAAAAACUUUAAACACAAGUUUUAAGUUUGAAAGAUGCAAUUGCAUCACUCAAAGAUGAUCCCGCGUUGUAUUAGCUAGUUGGUGAGGUAAAGGCUCACCAAGGCGAUGAUACAUAGCCGACCUGAGGGGGUGAUCGGCCACAUUGGGACUGAGACACGGCCCAAACUCCUACGGGAGGCAGCAGUAGGGAAUCUUCGGCAAUGGACGAAAGUCUGACCGAGCAACGCCGCGUGAGUGAAGAAGGUUUUCGGAUCGUAAAACUCUGUUGGUAGAGAAGAACGUUGGUGAGAGUGGAAAGCUCAUCAAGUGACGGUAACUACCCAGAAAGGGGCGGCUAACUACGUG
rnacentral:rRNA from 1 species